rnacentral:rRNA from 1 species
CCUACGGGUGGCAGCAGUGAGGAAUAUUGGUCAAUGGACGCAAGUCUGAACCAGCCAUGCCGCGUGCAGGAAGACGGCUCUAUGAGUUGUAAACUGCUUUUGUACGAGGGUAAACGCAGAUACGCGUAUCUGUCUGAAAGUAUCGUACGAAUAAGGAUCGGCUAACUCCGUGCCAGCAGCCGCGGUAAUACGGAGGAUUCAAGCGUUAUCCGGAUUUAUUGGAUUUAAAGGGUGCGUAGGCGGUCGGAUAAGUUAGAGGUGAAAUCCCGAGGCUCAACUUCGGAAUUGCCUCUGAUACUGUUCGGCUAGAGAGUAGUUGCGGUAGGCGGAAUGUAUGGUGUAGCUGUGAAAUGCUUAGAGAUCAUACAGAACACCGAUUGCGAAGGCAGCUUACCAAGCUACUUCUGACGUUGAGGCACGAAAGCGUGGGGAGCAAACAGGAUUAGAUACCCCAGUAGUC